GAUUAACGCUGGCGGCAUGCCUAAUACAUGCAAGUCGAGCGAACAGAUGAAGUGCUUGCACUUCUGACGUUAGCGGCGAACGGGUGAGUAACACGUAAGGAAUCUACCUAUAAGCGGGGGAUAACAUUCGGAAACGGGUGCUAAUACCGCAUAAUAUCUUCUUCCGCAUGGAAGAAGAUUGAAAGACGGCUCUGCUGUCACUUAUAGAUGACCUUGCGGUGCAUUAGUUAGUUGGUGGGGUAACGGCCUACCAAGACGAUGAUGCAUAGCCGACCGGAGAGGGUGAUCGGCCACAUUGGGACUGAGACACGGCCCAAACUCCUACGGGAGGCAGCAGUAGGGAAUCUUCCGCAAUGGGCGAAAGCCUGACGGAGCAAUGCCGCGUGAGUGAAGAAGGCCUUCGGGUCGUAAAACUCUGUUAUAAGAGAAGAACAAAUUGUAGAGUAACUGCUACAGUCUUGACGGUAUCUUAUCAGAAAGCCACGGCUAACUACGUGCCAGCAGCCGCCGUAA
rnacentral:rRNA from 1 species